rnacentral:rRNA from 1 species
GAUGAACGCUAGCGGGAGGCCUAACACAUGCCAGCCGAGCGGUAUUGUUUCUUCGGAAAUGAGAGAGCGGCGUACGGGUGCGUAACACGUGUGCAACCUGCCUUUAUCUGGGGGAUAGCCUUUCGAAAGGAAGAUUAAUACUCCAUAAUAUAUUGAACGGCAUCGUUUAAUAUUGAAAGCUCCGGCGGAUAGAGAUGGGCACGCGCAAGAUUAGCUAGUUGGUGAGGUAACGGCUCACCAAGGCGAUGAUCUUUAGGGGGCCUGAGAGGGUGAUCCCCCACACUGGUACUGAGACACGGACCAGACUCCUACGGGAGGCAGCAGUGAGGAAUAUUGGUCAAUGGGUGCAAGCCUGAACCAGCCAUCCCGCGUGAAGGACGACUGCCCUAUGGGUUGUAAACUUCUUUUGUAUAGGGAUAAACCUACCCUCGAGAGGGUAGCUGAAGGUACCAUACGAAUAAGCACCGGCUAACUCCGUG